rnacentral:tRNA from 1 species
GGCCGGGUAGCUCAGUUGGUAGAGCAGGGGACUGAAAAUCCCCGUGUCGGCGGUUCGAUUCCGUCCCCGGCCACCA